GGUUUGAUUCUGCCUGAUUGAACGCUGGCGGGAUGCUUUACAUGCAAGUCGAACGGCAGCACGGACUUCGGUCUGGUGGCGAGUGGCGAACGGUGAGUAAUGUAUCGGAACGUGCCUAGUAGCGGGGGAUAACUACGCGAAAGCGUAGCUAAUACCGGGCAUACGAAGCCCCUUCGGGGGAAAGCGGGGACCUUCGGGCCUCGCACUAUUAGAGCGUGGCCGAUAUCGGAUUAGCUAGUUGGUGGGGUAACGGCUCACCAAGGCGACGAUCCGUAGCUGGUUUGAGAGGAUGACCAGCCACACUGACUGGAGACGGGCCCAGACUCCUACGGGAGGCAGCAGGGAAUUUUGGAUAAUGGGAACCCUGAUCCAGCCAUCCCGCGUGUGCGAUGAAGGCCUUCGGGUUGUAAAGCACUUUUGGCGGAAGAAACGGCACGGGAUAAUACCCCGUGCAACUGACGGUACCUGCAGAAUAAGCACCGGCUAAUCAGCGCCAGCAGCCGCGUAAUACGUAGGUGCAAGCGCAACUGAAUUACUGGGCGCAAAGCGUGCGCAGGCGGUUCGGAAAGAAAGAUGUGAAAUCCCAGAGCUAACUUUGGGAACUGCAUUUUUAACCAAUGUUAGAGGAAGCCGUGAGGGAGGUGGAAUUCCGCGUGUAGCAGUGAAAUGUGUAGAUAUGCGGAGAACACCGAUGGCGAAGGCAGCCUCCUGGGAUAACACUGACGCCUGGUGCACGAAAGCGUGGGGAGCAAACAGGAUUAGAUACUCCUGGUAGUCCACGCCCUAAACGAUGUCAACUAGCCGUUGGGGCCUUCGGGCCUUUGGUAAGCGCAGCUAACGCGUGAAGUUGACCGCCUGGGGAGUACGUCGCAAGAUUAAAAACUCAAAGGAAUUGGACGGGGACCCGCACAAAGCGGUGGAUGAUGUGGAUUAAUUCGAUGCAACGCGAAAACCUUACUCACCCUUGACAUGUCUGAAUCCCGAAGAGAUUUGGGAGUGCUCGCAAGAGAACCGGAACACAGGUGCUGCAUGGCUGUCGUCAGCUCGUGUCGUGAGAUGUUGGGUUAAGUCCCGCAACGAGCGCAACCCUUGUCAUUAGUUGCUGCUGAAAGGGCACUCAACAGACUGCCGGUGACAAACCGGAGGGAAGCUGGUGGGGAUGACGUGUCAAGUCCUCAUGGCCCUUAUGGGUAGGGCUUCACACGUCAUACAAUGGUCGGGACAGAGGGUCGCCAACCCGCGAGGGGGAGCCAAUCCCAGAAACCCGAUCGUAGUCCGAUCGCAGUCUGCAACUCGACUGCGUGAAGUCGGAAUCGCUAGUAAUUCGAUCAACAUGUCGCGGUGAAUACGUUCCUGGGUCUUGUACACCGCCCGUCACACCAUGGAGUGGGUUUUACCAGAAGUAGUUAGCCUAACCGUAAGGAGGGCGAUUGUCUCACGGUAGUGGAUUCAGACUGGGGUGAAGUCAACAAGGUAG
rnacentral:rRNA from 1 species